rnacentral:rRNA from 1 species
AUUGAACGCUGGCGGCAGGCCUAACACAUGCAAGUCGCGCGGAUCGGCGGACGGGUGCGGAAUGCCUAUGAAUCUGCCUGGUAGUGGGGGAUAACGUCCGGUAACGGGGGCUAAUACCGCAUACUAUCAGAUGAGCCUAGGUCGGAUUAGCUUGUUGGUUGGGUAAAGGCAUACAAAGGCGACGACCCGUAACUGGUCUGAGAGGAUGAUCAGUCACACUAGAACUGAGACACGGUCAAGACUCCUACGGGAGGCAGCAGUGGGGAAUAUUGGACAAUGGGCGAAAGCCUGAUCCAGCCAUGCCGUGUGUGUGAAGAAGGUCUUCGGAUUGUAAAGCACUUUAAGUUGGGAGGCGUUACCAACAGAAUAAGCACCGGCUAACUUCGUGCCAGCCGCCGCGGUAAUUC